rnacentral:sRNA from 1 species
AGGACCACGGUCGGAUUGGCGCCGGCUUCGUAUU